rnacentral:lncRNA from 1 species
CUGGUUGCAGCUGUGGAACAGCAGCUGCCGUUGUCCCUCCCUGGCUCUAGCUCUCCAAGCCGAUGCUGCUCGCUGCCCCUCUCCAAGCUGACGCCCCAACCAUGGCUGCCUCCCCCACACCAGCACCUUCCCCAUGGCCGAGCUUGUCCCUGCAGCAUGGAUGUUGUCCCCCUCCCCACGCUAGCAGCAAGCAGUGCCCUCCCCUUUCUGCAGCAAGUGGAUGCCCCCAGCCCCUCCCUUGUUCCCAUGGCCGGCCACCUCUGCUGCUCCCAUGGUGAUCUCUAAAUCCCUUUGUUGUUUUACUAGUUCUUGUUAAUACCCUGCUGAUGUGAGGUUUUAUGUGUGUUGAUGUGUGCGAUAUGGAGUAAAAUCCUUAGAGAAUUAGGUGGAGAAGAAGGUUAAGUUCAACACUCCUUAGGUGUUAGAUGAUAUGCUCGAACUGGUGGCCGUCUUCGUUCUUGCUGAAAUCGAGUCGGAGCAUGAUGUGGUGAGCCAAGUCGUUACUCCGACUACUUAGUUAAUGAAUGAUUUGGUUAUAUAAUUAUUGCUGUAAUGGUAUUUGAUGUAUGAUGAAAUAAUUUGGUUGUGUGCCAUGAAUUUUUUUUUGACGUCAUGAUUAGAUAGUAGAAGUGUUGUUUGAGGGGAAGUUUAGGUAUUAGGUGCAGAUUUUACGAGGAGUGCUUUAGAGAGUACAUAUGUCAAGUAUAAUUAUUAAAUGAAUGUUAUAAAACACAGAGGAUGGUUCUGUUUAGGCAAGGAAUGCUUUGAUUGAUGCGUUGGUAAGCUGUGGUUAACCAAAAUAGGAACUAAAUUGAAUUUUUGCUGUUUGGACUUGCUGUUUGGACUGUGCACAGUUUUAGUAUGCAGGUAGUCAAGUGAAGUAAACUUUGUUUUCUGAAUAGAUGUUAUAUAGAAAAGUUGUAGAUAACCUUUUCAUCUUACUUGUGUUAAAAUUUCAUGGUCAUAUGUCUAGUAGUUUAGGAGUUAUGAUUUUUCUAAGUCCAGUUUCUGAAUCUGUCCAAAUUAUGUACAUGUUUCGAAAAUUGGACUGUUUGGCUAAGCUAAACUGAAAAUCAGCCCUUAGUAAUUAUAGAAGAACUAUAGUACUUUUCUUAAGCUUUCCAACAAAUUUUGGAGCACCCUUUUUGGUUGUCUAGAGACCAAGUUACAGCUGUUUGAACUAUAGAGUCUGAAUCUGUCCAAAUCUGGACAGCAAUGCUUGUUUGUAUUAACUGACUUCGAUACACAUUGAAUCACCCUGAGAUGUUUAUAAAUGAAUUGUAGACAAUUCUAUUAGCUUUCUAAAAAGUCUAGGAUCACCUGAUUUGGAUUUCUAAAACUCCAGUUAUGAAUUUUUGAAGUAAGUAGUCGAAUUCUGUCCAAAUCUGGACAGAAUUAAAGUUUAGCACUGUUUGACCUUUUAAACUGUCGAAUCAGGUUGUGAUGAUAAUAUAAGAGUUAUAGAGGACUUUCUAUGCUUUCCAGAAAUUCCUAGUUUACUAUUUUUGGAUGCAUAUUUUGUGAGUUAUGAAUAGAACAAUUAAUCGUUGUGCUGCUGUCUAAAAAUUCUGCAAGUAUUAAAUUGUUGGCUUGAAGUUACUAUUGUUUGGCUAAGUAAGUUUAGCUGAUUCUUAACUGGUGAAGUGAUGCUUUGUUUUAGUAAUUAUCAUGUUCUAUGGUUGCUGAUUGAGUAAAUAUGAUAAAUGGAGAUUGGUCGCUUAAGUUAAUUAUCUUGAAUAAAUGUUCCUCAUUAUUCUUAUUAGUUGGAAGCAAAUAGCAUCAAUACGUUUAUUCUAGUUGUAAUCCGAGAGCUAUAUAGUGGGAAGUGCAUUUAGGCGCAUAAAGUCUUUUGCUUCUAGGUUAUAGUCAAAUGAGAUUAUGUAAUAUUUGAUGAUGCUCCACUUGCUAGGAUAAAUAGUGUGAUGUGUUAUUUAGCUCGUGCGCUAUGCUAGUUAAUCCGAUGAAAUGGUUUAAAAAGUUAGUUAAAGUAUUUCUAUUCAAAUUCGAAGUUGUAGAUGUCCAAGGCUAAUAAGUUUAAAUUAUGGUAAUUGUUUGGUGUAUGUUCUAGUUAAAGAAGGUCCAUACAUGGUUCACGAUUGUUUGGUGUUUAAGUUAGGUUCGAUUGAUUAGAAGAUCAUGCUUGUUGUGUUAGAGUUAAGGUAUCUAGUGAUUAUUUAUGCUUGCUUAUAAUGCUUUGCUAGAGAAUGUUUAAUCCUAUACCAUAUAACUUCAUAUAAUAUUAUACUAGUUCUUAUGUUCAUACAUGUGCAUUGUACAUCCAAAUAGGUACGCUAGCUGAAAAAUCGUGCUAAGCGAAGGGUGUGGAUCAAAACAACCCACAAGACGAUGUCGGCCGAUGAGCCCGAAGAUGGAUGGACUAAGCAGAUGUCAGAACAAAAGUUGAUUGUCAACUGGCCUUCAUUUAACAACACUAACGUAGUGUUAUCCCAGGCAAGCCCCGGUGCAUUUGCUACCUCCUUGUUGUUUUAAAACUUUUAUCACUUAUAUGCUGCAUUAGGUGAUAGGAGUUGAGUGAUGAAACAAUUGAUGCAUUACCAUUCCUUGGAAUUUGAUUAUCUUCCUUGCUACCUGUUUUUAUAAAAAGAACUAAUGAGGCUUAGCCCUGCCUAGAGAAGUAAAACUUGUUUCUGUUUAAAAGAAUGUUGUGUAAAACGGAGUAUGGGUUUGUUUUAUGAAAAAGGACUUGUAAUGGUGAGAGCAUCAUCUGCAGUGAUGAAUUCAUCAUUCAAGUGUUGUACCUCUGUCAGGUACAUGGUUUUGGGUGAUAAAUAAUAAGAUGAGACCAGACGUUGAGCAGGAAAGGUCGCCCGUCUGUGUCGAUUAAGGACCGUACCGAAAGUAGGCUUGCUGAUCUAGGACCCUUUAACUGGCCACAUGCCUCAUCAUGGGUAAGCUUUGCCUCGGUCGGACCAAUACCAGAACAGCUCGCACGCACUGGGAGUGGAGAGAUGGCGAGAGUAGCUUGUACCCUCCGUGGCAAAAGACUGGAAGGUGGGGUGCUGUACUCUCGGAAACAUGGCGGGCACCAUGGCGAGAGUAACGUGUACCAACCAGGCCAACGGCUGGACGGUGGAGUGUUGUGCUUUCGGGUCGCGUGAACCCAUUCUGGUCUUGAGAAACCCGGUGGCGAGUUGACAUAUGCAAGGGUUAAGUGCUAUAUAUGUCGUGUGGUUGGAGAUCCUCAGCUCAGUAUUAAUCGAUUCAGAUCGCCGUUACUUCUCGAAUAUGAAGACUGGAUCACUGCGCUGCAUCGUAGUUAACAAGCGAAACUAAAGCUAUUAAAAUGAAGCUAGUGUAGGACAAGUGAAUGAUCUAGAUUAGGCAAAUCUAGAUUUAGGAAAAGUACUUAACUUGUGAAGUAAAAUUUUGGCAUAAGGAUCCAAUACUAGUAAGCUUUUCUGCAAAAAUGAGUCUUUGAAACUUGAUGAGCCUUACCUUGAAUCCUUUUAAAACCAGCAUACCCUUGAGAGUCUUUUUUUAGUCGGGUAAGUCUUGCUGAGUAAUUGCGUACUCAGGGUUUUAUUCCCUGUUGUUUUUCAGGCUAUAAUUUUGUUCUGUUGUGGAUGCUGCUAAGUGCCGGUGGGCUCAGCCUUCUUAUAUAAGUAUAUCCCAUCUUUAGCUUCUUUAUGGAGG